GACGAACGCUGGCGGCGUGCUUAACACAUGCAAGUCGAACGGAAAGGCCCUGCUUUUGUGGGGUGCUCGAGUGGCGAACGGGUGAGUAACACGUGAGUAACCUGCCCUUGACUUUGGGAUAACUUCAGGAAACUGGGGCUAAUACCGGAUAGGAGCUCCUGCUGCAUGGUGGGGGUUGGAAAGUUUCGGCGGUUGGGGAUGGACUCGCGGCUUAUCAGCUUGUUGGUGGGGUAGUGGCUUACCAAGGCCUUGACGGGUAGCCGGCCUGAGAGGGUGACCGGCCACAUUGGGACUGAGAUACGGCCCAGACUCCUACGGGAGGCAGCAGUGGGGAAUAUUGCACAAUGGGCGGAAGCCUGAUGGAGCAACGCCGCGUGCGGGAUGACGGCCUUCGGGUUGUAAACCGCUUUCGCCUGUGACGAAGCGUGAGUGACGGUAAUGGGUAAAGAAGCACCGGCUAACUACGUG
rnacentral:rRNA from 1 species